UACGUAGGGAGCAAGCGUUGUCCGGAAUCAUUGGGCGUAAAGCGCGCGUAGGCGGCUUCGUAAGUCCGUUGUGAAAGUCAAAGGCUCAACCUUUGAAAGCCGUUGGAUACUGUGAAGCUAGAGUACGGAAGAGGCGAGUGGAAUUCCUGGUGUAGCGGUGGAAUGCGCAGAUAUCAGGAGGAACACCAAUAGCGAAGGCAGCUCGCUGGGACGUUACUGACACUGAGGCGCGAAAGCGUGGGGAGCGAACAGG
rnacentral:rRNA from 1 species